rnacentral:rRNA from 1 species
GACGAACGCUGGCGGCGUGCUUAACACAUGCAAGUCGAACGGAAAGGCCCUGCUUGCAGGGUACUCGAGUGGCGAACUGGUGAGUAACACGUGGGUGAUCUGCCCUGCACUUCGGGAUAAGCCUGGGAAACUGGGUCUAAUACCGGAUAGGAGCCAUUUUUAGUGUGAUGGUUGGAAAGUUUUUUCGGUGUAGGAUGAGCUCGCGGCCUAUCAGCUUGUUGGUGGGGUAAUGGCCUACCAAGGCGGCGACGGGUAGCCGGCCUGAGAGGGUGGACGGCCACAUUGGGACUGAGAUACGGCCCAGACUCCUACGGGAGGCAGCAGUGGGGAAUAUUGCACAAUGGGCGCAAGCCUGAUGCAGCGACGCCGCGUGGGGGAUGACGGCCUUCGGGUUGUAAACUCCUUUCGCUAGGGACGAAGCUUUUUGUGACGGUACCUAGAGAAGAAGCACCGGCUAACUACGUG